rnacentral:rRNA from 1 species
AUGUUAUUUAAAAGUUCAGAGGAGGCUUGGCUAUUUUGGAGAGCAUAUGGUGGUCGUGCUGGCUUUGAUGUGAGGAAAAGGUACAACAAUGUGAGAAAAUUUGAUGGUAAGGUAACCUCUUGCAGAUUUGUUUGUGCCAAUGAAGGCCAUCGGAAAAAAGGGCAAAGGGAAUCCGUUCAGAAGUGCUUUAGAGCUGAAACAAGAACUGAUUGCAAAGCUCGGAUGAGUCUUAUAUUGGAUCGAGAGUCCGAAAACUUGGAAGUCACUGAUGUAGUUCUUGAGCAUAAUCACCUCCUUCACUUGCCACAAACCCGCCACUUGAUGGUGUCCCAAAGGAAAAUUUAA